GGGCAUAAAGAGGUAUGAGAUUUUGUUAUAUUAAAAAGUAUGUCUGUGAUGCCCUUAGAUGUUGGGGGCUACACAAGUACUACACUGCCUGGCUCAGCAUGUGCCUACCCUACACCGGCAGGUGCAGGUAACCCGUUGAACCCCACUCAUGAUGGGGAUCAGGGAUUGCAAUUAUUCCCCAUGAACAAGGAAUUCCCAGUAAGCGCAGGUCAUAAACUUGUGUUGAUUAAGCCCCUGCCC
rnacentral:ncRNA from 1 species